rnacentral:rRNA from 1 species
CCGUAAACUCAAGUAGCAUCUCAACAAUACUACUCGCCAGAGUACUACAAGCAAUAGCUCGAAACUCAAAGGACUUGGCGGUGCUUUACACCCCUCUAGAGGAGCCUGUUCUAUAAUCGAUAAACCCCGAUAAACCUCACCACCUCUUGCUAAUUCAACCUAUAUACCGCCAUCCUCAGCAAACCCUGUUAAGGACCUAUAGUAAGCGAGAGAAUCACACAUUAAAACGUUAGGUCAAGGUGUAGUCUAUGAGGUGGGAAGAAAUGGGCUACAUUUUCUAUAUUUACAGAACAACCAACGCCUCCCCUUAUGAAAAAAGUGGUUAAGGCGGAUUUAGAAGUAAAUUGAGAAUAGAGAGCUUGAUUGAAUAGGGCAAUGAAGC